rnacentral:rRNA from 1 species
UACGAAGGGGGCUAGCGUUGCUCGGAAUCACUGGGCGUAAAGCGCACGUAGGCGGCUUUCUAAGUCAGGGGUGAAAUCCUGGAGCUCAACUCCAGAACUACCUUUGAUACUGGAGAGCUCGAGUCCGGGAGAGGUGAGUGGAACUCCGGAGUGUAGAGGUGAAAUUCGUAGAUAUUCGGAAGAACACCAGUGGCGAAGGCGGCUCACUGGCCCGGUACUGACGCUGAGGUGCGAAAGCGUGGGGAGCAAACAGGG